rnacentral:rRNA from 1 species
AAAUGAAUAGACGGGGGCCCGCACAAGCGGAGGAACAUGUGGUUUAAUUCGAUGAUACGCGAGGAACCUUACCCGGGCUUAAAUUAUAGGUGCAUAGAGCAGAGAUGUUCUUUUCUUCGGACUCCUAUAAAGGUGCUGCAUGGUUGUCGUCAGCUCGUGCCGUGAGGUGUCGGCUUAAGUGCCAUAACGAGCGCAACCCUUAUCAUUAGUUACUAACAGGUCAUGCUGAGGACUCUAGUGAGACUGCCGUCGUAAGAUGUGAGGAAGGUUGGGAUGACGUCAAAUCAGCACGGCCCUUACGUCCGGGGCUACACACGUGUUACAAUGGGGGGUACAGAGGGCAGCUACCUGGCGACAGGAUGCUAAUCUCCUAAAACCUCUCUCAGUUCGGAUUGAAGUCUGUAACUCGACUUCAUGAAGCUGGAUUCGCUAGUAAUCGCGCAUCAGCCAUGGCGCGGUGAAUACGUUCCCGGGCCUUGUACACACCGCCCGU